GAUGAAGAACAUAGCGAAAUGCGAUAAGUAGUGUGAAUUGCAGAAUUCAGUGAAUCAUCGAAUCUUUGAACGCACAUUGCGCCCCUUGGUAUUCCAUGGGGCAUGCCUGUUCGAGCGUCAUUUGUACCUUCAAGCUUUGCUUGGUGUUGGGUGUUUGUCCCUCGGGACUCGCCUUAAAGUCAUUGGCAGCCAGUGUUUUGGUUUUGAAGCGCAGCACAAGUCGCGAUUCAAGGCUAUCCGCCCGCUUCCACAAGCCUUUUUCACUUUUGACCUCGGAUCAGGUAGGGAUACCCGCUGAACUUAAGCAUAUCAAUAAGCGGAGGA
rnacentral:misc_RNA from 1 species